rnacentral:rRNA from 1 species
GACGAACGCUGGCGGCGUGCUUAACACAUGCAAGUCGAACGGAAAGGCCCUGCUUUUGUGGGGUGCUCGAGUGGCGAACGGGUGAGUAACACGUGAGUAACCUGCCCUUGACUUUGGGAUAACUUCAGGAAACUGGGGCUAAUACCGGAUAGGAGCUCCUGCUGCAUGGUGGGGGUUGGAAAUUUUCGGCGGUUGGGGAUGGACUCGCGGCUUAUCAGCUUGUUGGUGGGGUAGUGGCUUACCAAGGCUUUGACGGGUAGCCGGCCUGAGAGGGUGACCGGGCACAUUGGGACUGAGAUACGGCCCAGACUCCUACGGGAGGCAGCAGUGGGGAAUAUUGCCCAAUGGGCGGAAGCCUGAUGCAGCAACGCCGCGUGCGGGAUGACGGCCUUCGGGUUGUAAACCGCUUUCGCCUGUGACGACGCGUGAGUGACGGUAAUGGGUAAAGAAGCACCGGCUAACUACGUG